CUGGCGCCUCUCACCUGUGUUUCAUCUUCUUCACCCGCAAAUAAACACAUACAUCCAGAGAGAGAGAGAGAGAGAGAGAGUUCCAUUUGAGUACUCUCUUUUCUCUCACAUUGAGGUUUGUAUCCUCGGGUCCGUUCUAUCAAUUUUUCUACAAAGUGCAUAUAGAUUGGCUCGUGUAGGAAGCUUUUCUUUGUGGGACUCGGAGACCAAAGAUUUUUCCCUGAUUUAUUUUCUUCUUGGCAACCGAUUCUGAGAAAAACUGGGGAAUGGCAUUUUUUAAUUGUUUUGAAUGGUACAUCUUUUGCUUUUGCACAUCAAUGCAAUGCAGUACUUUUUUAAUUCUCCUUUU